rnacentral:misc_RNA from 1 species
UGGUUUCACUGGUAGUCAUCUG